GAUGAAGAAGUAGUGAAAUGCGAUAAGUAAUGUGAAUUGCAGAAUUCAGUGAAUCAUCGAGUCUUUGAACGCACAUUGCGCCCCCUGGUAUUCCGGGGGGCAUGCCUGUCCGAGCGUCAUUGCUGCCCUCAAGCACGGCUUGUGUGUUGGGCCCCCGUCCCCGGUUUCCCCCGGGGACGGGCCCGAAAGGCAGCGGCGGCACCGCGUCCGGUCCUCGAGCGUAUGGGGCUUUGUCACCCGCUCUGUAGGCCCGGCCGGCGCCAGCCGACACCCAACUUUAUUUCUAAGGUUGACCUCGGAUCAGGUAGGGAUACCCGCUGAACUUAAGCAUAUCAAUAAGCGGAGGA
rnacentral:misc_RNA from 1 species